rnacentral:rRNA from 1 species
GAUGAACGCUGGCUACAGGCUUAACACAUGCAAGUCGAGGGGAAACGACGGGGAAGCUUGCUUCCCCGGGCGUCGACCGGCGCACGGGUGAGUAACGCGUAUCCAACCUGCCUCUGACUGAGGGAUAACCCGUCGAAAGUCGGCCUAAUACCUCAUGGCAUCGUCUGCGGGCAUCCAACGACGAUUAAAGAUUUCAUCGGUCAGAGAUGGGGAUGCGUCUGAUUAGCUUGUUGGCGGGGUAACGGCCCACCAAGGCGACGAUCAGUAGGGGUUCUGAGAGGAAGGUCCCCCACAUUGGAACUGAGACACGGUCCAAACUCCUACGGGAGGCAGCAGUGAGGAAUAUUGGUCAAUGGGCGAGAGCCUGAACCAGCCAAGUAGCGUGCAGGAUGACGGCCCUAUGGGUUGUAAACUGCUUUUAUGCGGGGAUAAAGUGAGGGACGUGUCCUUCAUUGCAGGUACCGGAUGAAUAAGGACCGGCUAAUUCCGUG